GAUGAAGAACGCAGCGAAACGCGAUAUGUAAUGUGAAUUGCAGAAUUCAGUGAAUCAUCGAAUCUUUGAACGCACAUGGCGCCUUCCAGUAUCCUGGGAGGCAUGCCUGUCCGAGCGUCGUUUCAACCCUCGAGCCCCCGUGGCCCGGCGUUGGGGAUCUGCCACGGCAGGCCCCUAAAACCAGUGGCGGACCCGAAGGCCCUCUCCUUUGCGCAGUAGCAUCAGCCUCGCAUUGGGAACCCUCGGCGUCCUGCCUCUAAACCCCCCACAAGUCCGCUCCGGCGGCACCAAGGUUGACCUCGGAUCAGGUAGGAAUACCCGCUGAACUUAAGCAUAUCAAUAAGCGGAGGA
rnacentral:misc_RNA from 1 species